AUUGAACGCUGGCGGCAGGCCUAACACAUGCAAGUCGAGCGAGCGGCGGACGGGUGCGCUAUGUAUGGGAAAAUGCGUGAUGGAGGGGGAUCACUACCGGACACGGAUGCUAAUACCGCAUUCAAUAAGCUGUGCCCAGAUGGGAUUAGCUAGGAGGUGGGGUAAUGGCUCACCUAGGCGACGAUCCCUAACUGGUCUGAGAGGAUGACCAGCCACACUGGAACUGAGACACGGUCCAGACUCCUACGGGAGGCAGCAGUGGGGAAUAUUGCACAAUGGGCGCAAGCCGGAUGCAGCCAUGCCGCGUGUGUUAAGAAGGCCUUCGGGUUGUAAAGCACUUUCAGCUAGGAGGCGUUACUCGCAGAAUAAGCACCGGCUAACUCCGUGCCAGCAGCCGCGGUAAUUC
rnacentral:rRNA from 1 species